rnacentral:rRNA from 1 species
GACGAACGCUGGCGGCGUGCCUAAUACAUGCAAGUAGAACGCACAGUUUAUACCGUAGCUUGCUACACCAUAGACUGUGAGUUGCGAACGGGUGAGUAACGCGUAGGUAACCUGCCUGGUAGCGGGGGAUAACUAUUGGAAACGAUAGCUAAUACCGCAUAAUAUUGAUUAUUGCAUGAUAAUUGAUUGAAAGAUGCUAUUGCAUCACUACCAGAUGGACCUGCGUUGUAUUAGCUAGUAGGUGAGGUAACGGCUCACCUAGGCGACGAUACAUAGCCGACCUGAGAGGGUGAUCGGCCACACUGGGACUGAGACACGGCCCAGACUCCUACGGGAGGCAGCAGUAGGGAAUCUUCGGCAAUGGACGAAAGUCUGACCGAGCAACGCCGCGUGAGUGAAGAAGGUUUUCGGAUCGUAAAGCUCUGUUGUAAGAGAAGAACGGGUGUGAGAGUGGAAAGUUCACACUGCGACGGUAUCUUACCAGAAAGGGACGGCUAACUACGUG